rnacentral:lncRNA from 1 species
GGAUCUUUGCUGCAGGUCACCUGUUGCCAUUUGCUGUUUACAUUUCCUGCAACUCAGAAAUAAAGCUGGGCCAUGAUUUUGCAGGGGAAAAAAAAUACCAGUGGGGUUGAAAUUAGGCUCUUGGACCAUACAAAUUAAUUACGUAUAUUUAUGGACAAUUAUUUUGGGUGAGUUUUUUUUUUUUUUUAAUUUGCCAACUAACAUGAUGCCCUCUGAAUGUCUUUUUGAGAUUAUAUGUAAAUGUUGUGGACAGAGCGCCUUUCCCCGAUUCUACCAUCUGAAUGGGCAAAAUUUGCUAGUAACACAGAAGUAAGCUGCACUCCCCUGGUGUCUGAGAAGCUGCAUAAUAAAAUACAGAGACUUUGAUUCCACUGGAUUUUUGCUGCAGCUUGGGUACAAGAAGCGAUAAAACCUGAGAGAAAAUAAACAGAAAAUGCCUUAAAUUCAAACUGAAUUCCUUUAACAGCCCCGUUUCCCCACUGAUUGUCGCAAGACUAAAACUGGUCUAGACCUUCCUACCUGGAAUUGCUUAGUGUACAGUAACAAUUGUUCUUCCUAAUGGAUUUUAACACGUGAUGGAAAGAAUUUUUCUUCCCUUUUAUCUCGCCUCCUUUGAUGGGAAAAUUACCCCCCUACUGUGAGUUACAACAGGGCGGUUAACCAUUACAGAAAGCAAUUUCAGGGUGAGGGAAGUCAAAUAUGCUGCUGUUACUGGUUAACAGUUAAAUUUCUCUACUUGCUGCUGGUUUUCUUCUAUCUAAUAAAGGGGAGAACCAACCAUUUACCAUCCUCAAAUUAAUACUGUUUAACAUUGAUCUGUUGCAACCUGAAAUGAAAAAAUACAUUAAAAAUAUGCUUAUGUUUAAAAACCAAAAA